rnacentral:rRNA from 1 species
GACGAACGCUGGCGGCGUGCCUAACACAUGCAAGUCGAACGAAGUGGCGAACGGGUGAGUAACGCGUAAUCAACCUGCCCUUCAGAGGGGGAAAACAGUUGGAAACGACUGCUAAUACCGCAUACUGAAGGUGGGGAUGGCGUCUGAUUGGCUAGUUGGAGGGGUAACGGCCCACCAAGGCGAUGAUCGGUAGCCGGUCUGAGGGGAUGAACGGCCACAUUUGGACUGCAACACGGCCCAGAAUCCUACGGGAAGCAGCAGGGGGGAAUCUUCCGCCAUGGACGAAAGGCUGACGGAGCAACGCCCCGUGAGUGAUGACGGCCUUCGGGUUGUAAAGCUCUGUUAAUCGGGACGCGGUACCGGAAUAGAAAGCCACGGCUAACUACGUGCCAGCCGCCGCGGUAAUAC